rnacentral:rRNA from 1 species
UACGUAGGGGGCAAGCGUUGUCCGGAUUUAUUGGGCGUAAAGAGCGUGUAGGCGGCCGUACAGGUCAGCUGUGAAAACUCGAGGCUCAACCUCGAGACGUCGGUUGAAACCGUACGGCUAGAGUCCGGAAGAGGAGAGUGGAAUUCCCGGUGUAGCGGUGAAAUGCGCAGAUAUCAGGAGGAACACCAAUGGCGAAGGCAGCACUCUGGGACGUGACUGACGCUGAGACGCGAAAAGCCGUGGGGAGCAAACAGG